CCUACGGGCGGCAGCAGUGAGGAAUAUUGGUCAAUGGGCGCGAGCCUGAACCAGCCAAGUCGCGUGCGGGAGGACGGCCCUACGGGUUGUAAACCUCUUUUGCCGGGGAGCAACGGGCGCCACGUGUGGCGUCACUGGGAGUACCCGGAGGAAAAGCAUCGGCUAACUCCGUUCCAGCAGCCGCGGUAAUACGGAGGAUGCGGGCGUUAUCCGGAUUUAUUGGGUUUAAAGGGUGCGUAGGCGGAUCGUCAAGGCAGUGGGAAAAUUGCGGGGCCCAACCCCUUCCCGCCAUUGAAACUGGCGUUCUUGAGUGGAAGAGAAGUAGGCGGAAUGCGUGGUGUAGCGGUGAAAUGCAUAGAUAUCACGCAGAACCCCGAUCGCGAAGGCAGCAUGCCGGCGUCCGACUGACGCUGAAGCACGAAAGCGUGGGGAUCGAACAGGAUUAGAUACCCGAGUAGUC
rnacentral:rRNA from 1 species